CCUCCAGGUGCGCCCAAGCCCUUUUCUUGCAUUAUGAAGCUAAGCAGCCUCUCUCUAUUCGCUGUGACCGUCCCCCUCUGCCUCCUCCACAUGGCCCAGCCUGGAGUCCUGAAAAGUGGCGGGUAGGGCGUGGCGACCCGUAGUGUGGCUGGAGUUGGGGAACCUUUCCUCUGAGGAGUCCGUGCGACGACCUGGCUCUCAUGCCUGGAAGCCAUUUGGCGUCCCCGACUCACCCUGUGGCAUUUUUCUCCAGCUGCACAGAAACCUGGAAGUUGCCCAGAGUUUUCUCUUGACUGCCCUUUCAUCCUGUUACCUAUGUGCUGGCGGGAUAAAAGCUGCAAGGAGGUCAAAUGGUGUUGCUACUACAAACGUCGGCAUCAGUAUAGGGAGCCCUGCUGGACUUCGGAUUGAGGUGAGGAGCCCCAGAUCUGCUGCCCGUGAAACCUUCCUGCAGAAGCAUUGUCUUAGAAGGAGUUGAGAACUGCCUAUUCCCGUAGAAAAUCACUGUGAUCAGAGGUUUUAAAUUAGGUCGGCCCAUAGAUCUGCCUCAGGACAAUGAAGGGAGAAGCUCAACAGAACUCCUUGCUUAGAUUAUGCACCUUCCAUUUCACAUAAUGGACUUCGCCCUUCUCCUCUCUGUAAAGAGGACAUUUCAGCAAGACUCAUUAAGAUCCUCAACAGUUACCGGCUUUUUAUUAUUUUUGAUUCCUAUUUUCUGCAGCUUAUAAUAAUGAAACACUUUCCUGUUCAUAUUUACAUUGUGAGUGUUUAUGUAAUUUCACAGUUCCUUAGGAUGGCUUGCCUAGAAUCCCUGAUCCCAGUCCUUGAUUCCUGGAUAGCACAAGCCAGUGUUCUUCGGAGGAGAAUACGUAAGAGGAUCCAGACAAUGGCGUCCUAUUGCCUCAAAAUCUGCUGGAUAAACUGCACAGAAACCGGGAUAUUGCCCAGAGUUUGAUCUUACCUGCCCUUUCACCCUCUUACCUAUGUGCCGUCGCGAUAAGGGUUGCAAGGGAGUCAAGAAGUGUUGCUACUACAACUGUCGGCAUCAGUGUAUGGAGCCCUGGCGGACUCUGGAUUGAGGUGGAAAGCCCUUCUUUACCAGGACUGAGGAGACACAGGUGCUACAGGCUCAGACUGGGAUAACUGGUCUCCAUGUUGUCCAUGAUCGCUCAGGCCCAGGACUUCCUUUUAGCAAGAGUUAAAUGUUUCUUACUAUGAUAACAAGACAAAGAAAUAAAGCGUUGUAUAUUGAAAACUCCAUGAACAUCUGUAAGUCUGCUGGAUUGAUCUCUUGCUCUCUCUCUCUCUACUCAGCCGUGUUGCAUAAUCCCUCAGGAACUGUAAAAAGGACGGAGUUACUGUUUCACAUUUAGUUUCAUCAAUUCCUGCACUUGUGUUUUUCAGAUAUGUUUGUCUCUUUCAAUAUCUCCUGACACUCAGAUUCUCUGUUGGUCAGAUUCCAGGCGCAUUUUGGAGUUAAAUUCUCUGUGAUUGCAUCCUAUGAAUGGCAUGCCAAUUAAUUCUGUAAUGGAAGAGCAAGCCAUUUUUGCUUCAGUUUUUCUGGUACUACUGCUGGUGGCCUUUCCACGUGUUGGAGUAAUAUGAUCUGCAAUUGGAUUUGGAACUUAAGGUUGGAAACUGAGCAAGAUGUACUUUAGUUCUAGGUACUUUCAUUCCUAAAAAUUGAGCCACCCUCUGUAGAGGACUGUGUGCUGGCAAACGAGAAGUUCCUGAUAAGCCCUGCUCUUGCAAACAAAGCAGGACAUUCCUUCUCUGCAAACAAGAAGGAUAAAGGAGUCAGCUGUAAGCAGCGGGCUCUGGGAACUGGUCAAUGUUUUACUGAUCUUGCGAGUCAAGGAAAGGUCAGAGAAGCAACACAUGUCCCAUGACUUGGCAACAUUCCACAAACGGCUGGAUAAAAAUAAAGCAGUGUGUGCCGUUCGGGGCGGCCGCCAUGUAUGUCUUGUCCUGUGUUGUCUUGUGUGUUCAUUCCUUUGUUUAGGAAACACACGGACCCCAACACCCUCAAUUUGGAGAACAAAAUCCUUACGGUUCAGCCUACCUCCCUUGAAUCUUUGGUUGGGGGUUGGGCCCUAAGUCUACCUAAUAAUGAAGUGUAUUUAGCCAUGAAUUUUCCAGAUUUGUAACUCUGUGCUUCCUUAACUCCCACAAAGGUUUCAAGGGUCUGGGAAAGUGAUUUUCCAAAAUUUUAUUUAUCUCUAACAAGUAUCUUAACAAUUUUGAAAAACUACUUUUUCCCAAGCAUGUUUCAAAUUGGCAUCUAAUAUUUUUAUGAUCAUUGCAUAGUUUCUUUUUUUUUUUCUGUAAAUAAAAUUUUAUUGGAACACAGACACGUUCAUUUGUUUACACAUUGUCUAUGUACGUUUUCAUUCUAUGCUGGCAAAGUUAAAUAAUUGUCACAGGGGGCCACAUGACCCACGAAGCUGGCACAACUUACUGUGUAGCUCUAAAUAGAAAAAGUUACUCAACUUCUGGAUUUCAGCAUUAAUUCCUAAGAGAGAAAUUAAUACCUGAGAGAGGGUGCAGGUGCAGUACUGAGUACUAAUGAGUACUGCAUAGUACUGAUGAGAUCUGACCAAGCAGUGGCUGGAUAGAUUUAAAAACUAAAUGAUAAAUGAACAAACAAAAACUCUGAAGAUUUUUAUGAUUUUAU